UAAUUGCUGCUGCUGCUGCUGCUGCAGCAGCAGCUGCAGCAGCAGCAUUUGUUGCUGCUGCAGCAGCAGCAGCAGGGUCUGGUGAUGAUGCUGCAGCUAGCCACACUUACUGAAUGCACCAAAGACAGAGAACAUGGAUUAUAAUUGCUGCUGCUGCUGCAGCUGCAGCAACAGCAGCAGCAGCAGCUGCUGCUGUUGAUGCGGCUGCUGCUGCAGCUGUUCAUGCUGCUGCUGUUGAUGCAGCAGCUGUUGAUAUUGAUGCUGCUGCAGCUGCUGAUGCAGCUGCAGUUGCUGCUGCACAAACAGCAGCAGCAGCAG
rnacentral:sRNA from 1 species